rnacentral:rRNA from 1 species
UACAGAGGUCUCAAGCGUUGUUCGGAUUCAUUGGGCGUAAAGGGUGCGUAGGCGGCGCGGUAAGUCGGGUGUGAAAUCUCGGAGCUUAACUCCGAAACUGCAUUCGAUACUGCCGUGCUUGAGGACUGGAGAGGAGACUGGAAUUUACGGUGUAGCGGUGAAAUGCGUAGAUAUCGUAAGGAAGACCAGUGGCGAAGGCGGGUCCCUGGACACUUCCUGACACUGAGGCACGAAAGCUAGGGGAGCAAACAGG